AGUUUGGUUGUGAGCUUGUAAAACAACCAACUGUAAUCUGUAGGAUUAUAGUGAAAUUCCCAAGAGGUCUUGGGGAGUGGAUGUAGGUGCUGGGGUGCACCGAACCACUAUAUGUUUGUUGUGUUUGUAAUGCUUCUUGUUAUUGUCUAACUAACACACUUACUUACUUAGAUAAAUUGCUUGCUUAACUCUUAUCCGCGCAUCCUUUAGUUGCAAGCAUAUUCAAUCAAGUCACAUUCUAUACAUCCAACUGUUGCUAAGUUUAACUUUCACUGUGCAUCUAUACAACUUAGCAUAAUUAAUCAAAAAGUGCCAGAAGUAG
rnacentral:lncRNA from 1 species